rnacentral:misc_RNA from 1 species
UACGGAGGGUGCAAGCGUUAUCCGGAAUCACUGGGUUUAAAGGGUGCGUAGGCGGAUAGAUAAGUCAGAGGUGAAAGCUCCCAGCUUAACUGGGGAAUUGCCUUUGAUACUGUUUAUCUUGAAUUAUGUUGAGGUUAGCGGAAUGUGACAUGUAGCGGUGAAAUGCAUAGAUAUGUCAUAGAACACCAAUUGCGAAGGCAGCUAGCUAGGCAUAUAUUGACGCUGAGGCACGAAAGCGUGGGGAGCGAACAGG